AAAAAGAUUAGUAUAUUGAUUGUUAAAGUUGCCAAGUUGACAAAUCCAGAUGACGAUGAACUUUUCUUUUAGGAUUACUUAGGAGUCCUAGUGUGUUUGAAACUAGAAGGAACCUUCGAAACCAGCACCUGAUGGAUGAGAUAGCUGGUGCACAGAGAAUACCUACUGUGAAAUGUGGAACAAAGUCAAGCUGUAUUAGAUAUCUGAUACAUCUCAGCAAAUAAAGAGGAUAAAAGAAGAAGCCAGAUCUUGAAGUCAUCUUGCAGGCUACAUAAGCAAAAAGAGGCCACUGAUGGAUAAGAAGAAACAGGAUGAAAGUUAAGGCUCAGAACAGCAUGCUCCUAACUGUGAGGUUCUGCUUUCUCCCUCUGGGAAACCAGCCACAAUGUGUGAGGUCCAACUACCUGAGACUGAACUGUGGGGAAGUCUAGGUUAGCGCAUGGACAGAGAGAUGCCAUAUGGAGAGGCACCAAAGUACCAGACGUAAGUGAAGUCCUUUGGAAGUCUGCCAGCCACUUACUGAAUGUAGCUGAGUGACUCCACUGACACCACGGAGAGCAGAAGAUCCCAGCCCUUCCCUGAAUUCCAUGCCCACACAACUGAAAAAAAGGUAACGAUUGUUGAAGUCACUAAGUUUUAGUGUGCAGCUUGUUCCACAGCAAUAGAUAAUAAAAGUCAGGAAUUAGUCCUGGAAAUAAACAUAUUUACCAAGAUUCCUCUUUUUACAGUUACCACCUUAGACAGGAAAAACAAAAUUAUGAUGGCCAAGAGUAUGUAGUCAGUGAAAUCCUAGGGGAAGGACAACCCAGAAGACAAUGGGACAGCCACAGCAAAUGAACAAAAUAUUGUUUUAAAAGAAAAAGUUGGGGGUGCCUGGGUGGCUCAUUCGGUUAAGCAUCUGACUGUUGAUUUCGAAUCAGGUCAUGAUGUCAUGUUCAUGAGAUCAAGCCCCUCACUGGGGUCAGCACAGAGUGUAGAGCCUGCUUGGGAUUCUCUCUCUCUCUUCCUCUUUGCCCCUCCCCACUGCGUGAGGGCUUGCUUGCUCUCUCUCAAAAUAAAUAAAAAAUAAAAACUUAAAAAAAAUUUUUUUUCACGUUGCAGCUGGGUAUACAUACUUAAGGAUUUGGGUAUCUUACAAUAAUAAAAUCAUGAUUUUUCCUUUUCCGUUGGCAAAAGUUUUCUGCUUUCAAUUCUUUUGAGUUCUGUUUCUUUAACUGUAUCUGCUGUGCACUUCCUUCUUAUUGUUAGGGCUGGGAGCCUGGGAACUACAUUUCCCAGUGUCCCUUAUGGGUAGUUUUCAAGCCCUAUGCUGAUGACCAGAAGUAUUGGCAGGAGAUUUUGAAGGGAGAAGAGAGGUAGAAGCCACGUUAUUGCUCUUCGGUCAGGAGCGGGCAGGUGUGUGGGUGUCAGGAGAUAUCAGAGUUUGUAUAGGAUCCCAUUCUCCUGUGAAUCAUCCUCCUCAGAGCUGGAAGCAGAUGACAUCACCAGCAGCAGUUUCCUUUAGUCCCUGAAACUUCCUGUCUCUUGAAGCUAGCCACAUAUUUGAAAGCUUGUGGCUUUCCCCACCCUUGCCUCUUCCAGCCCUCCUAGGAAUUUUGUACACAUCCAAUUCCUUGUAUUAAAUUUUUCCUCCCGCUUGAAAUACCUAGAACAGCUUCUAUUUUUCUUUACUAAAUCCUAUUAUGUAAAUCAGAACCUCAUUUUAUAAUGAAAGUUGAAAUAAAGUAGAAUUUCUCUUUACAUAAUUUUUUAUUUCAAUUUUUCCCCCAAUAGCUACAGACUUCUUUCAUAAAAUUUUGAACCCAAACCCACUUACAUAACACAGCGUGGAGGGAGAUGCCUAUGGAAGAUUGCAAAAUGGCAAGGAUACAAGGUGUAGUUGGGAUUCUAGGGCUGGAGGAACUAAGCCAUUCUUUCCCCAAUCAAUGAAAGGAAGUUUUAUAGGUAGGGUCACGGUCACCAGAUUUAGCAAACAACAGGACACCUAGUUAAAUUAGAAUUUCAGAUCAACGAUGUGGUAGGCGGAGCAAAGUCUACCCCCAAAAAGGUACAUCUCCUAAUCCUUGGAACCUGUGAGUGUAUUACAUGGCAGAAAGACUCUCAGCUGUGAUUAAGCUUAUGUGCCUGGAAAGAGGAGUCUUCUCCAUCAUGCAGCUGGGCCCAAUUAUUCAGAGUCUUUAAAAGUGGAGAGACUGCCAGCUGUAAUCAGAGCGAGCUAUGACUAAGGGAGGCCGGGGCUGCAACGUUGCUGCCUUUCAAGAUGGAGGAAGAAGGCGGCUUGCCAAGGAAUGUGGGUGGGCCUCAGUUGCUGGAAAAGGUAAGAAAAUGGAUUGUUCCCUAGAGCCUGCGGCAGGAAUGUAGCCUUGCUGAUAGAGAUUUUAGCCCAGCGAGAACCAUGUCAGACUGCUGACCUUUGUAACUGUAAGAUAAUAAAUUUGUGUUGUUCUAAUCCACUCACUGUGGUGAUUUGCUACAGCAGCAGAAGAUUGAUGCCAACAAUAGGUAGGUUGUUAGUGUAAGUAUGGCCUUGCAAUAUUUAAGACAUGCUUAUAUUUAAAAGUGGGGUUUUUUUUGAAAUUAAAAUUUAGCUGUGAGUCUUGUAUCUUACCUGGCAAACCUGUUGAUAAGAAAGUGGGGUUCCAGAUCUCUUCUGUAAUACCAAUGUUUGGCACUUCCAAUGUGCCAGACGGUUAAAAUAAGCGAGUUACCUACUCUCUUUCAUUUGAUUGUUGCAACUCUUUGGUGUACGUGUAACUGUGAUAUCUAUUUAUAUGUUUAUUAUUUUUUUUAAUGUUUAUUAGAGAGAGAGAGAGAGAUUGACACCGUGCAAAUGGGGGAGGGACAGAGAGAGGGCGACACAGAAUCCGAAGCAGGCUCCAGGCUCUGAGCCGUCAGCACAGAGCCCGGACACGGGGCUUGAACCCAUGAACUGUGAGAUCAUGACCUGAGCCAAAGUUGGACACUUGACUGACUGAGCCACUCAGGCGCUCCUAUGUGUUUGUGUAUUUUUGAGAGAGAGAGUGGGAGCAGCAGACAGAAGAUCUGAAGCAGGCUCUGCACGGACAGCACGGAGCCCAAAGCAGGGCUUGAAUCCAUGAACUUCGAGGUCGCGACCUGAGCUGAAGUCCGCUGCUCAUCAGACUGAGCCACCCAGGUGCCCCUUGUGGCUAUUUUUAAAUGAGGUAACUGAGUCUACACAGAAGUAAACAAUUUGCUUAAUGCAGGUUUUAGGCAGUGGAGGAGCUGGGGUGGGGGUCGCCAGGUCUGUGUGACCCCAGAGUCCAUUAUGCAAAGUCCCCUCCAUCUGCUUUGCUAGGCUGUAACUCCAUUUUUGGGCUUGCUGUCAUUGCUAGAGCUCCCAAAGCCAGCCUCUACUGCCGCUUGCACAUCCUCUCACCCACUCCUUCCUGUAGCCCAGGAAUCUGACUGCUGCUCCCACCUCUUCUAUACCAUUGAAACUGCCUUCUCAAAGGUCACUGAUAGAUAACCUUUAACCAGCCAUCAUUUCUUAGUCUUCCUUCUCUUUGCCGUCUGUGCACCAUGUGAUGAUGAUGUGUUCUCCACCUUCCAA